GCCUUUCUGGUGUAGUAGUCAGCACGCUCGAUGCGUAACCGAGAGGUCUGGGGUUCGAUUCCCGGCGAAGGCG
rfam:Stegodyphus mimosarum contig50091, whole genome shotgun sequence.